rnacentral:rRNA from 1 species
GAUGAACGCUGGCGGCGUGCCUAAUACAUGCAAGUCGAGCGAACAGACGAGGAGCUUGCUCCUCUGACGUUAGCGGCGGACGGGUGAGUAACACGUGGAUAACCUACCUAUAAGACUGGGAUAACUUCGGGAAACCGGAGCUACUACCGGAUAAUAUAUCGAACCGCAUGGUUCAAUAGUGAAAGACGGUUUUGCUGUCACUUAUAGCUGGAUCCGCGCCGCAUUAGCUAGUUGGUAAGGUAACGGCUUACCAAGGCAACGAUGCGUAGCCGACCUGAGAGGGUGAUCGGCCACACUGGAACUGAGACACGGUCCAGACUCCUACGGGAGGCAGCAGUAGGGAAUCUUCCGCAAUGGGCGAGAGCCGGACGGAGCAACGCCGCGUGAGUGAUGAAGGUCUUCGGAUCGUAAAACUCUGUUAUUAGGGAAGAACAAAUGUGUAAGUAACUAUGCACGUCUUGACGGUACCUGAUCAGAAAGCCACGGCUAACUACGUG